rnacentral:rRNA from 1 species
UACGGGGGGGGCAAGCGUUGUUCGGAAUUACUGGGCGUAAAGGGCUCGUAGGUGGCCAAUUAAGUCAGACGUGAAAUCCCCAGGCUUAACCUGGGAACUGCGUCUGAUACUGGUUGGCUUGAAUUCGGGAGAGGGAUGCAGAAUUCCAGGUGUAGCGGUGAAAUGCGUAGAUAUCUGGAGGAAUACCGGUGGCGAAGGCGGCAUCCUGGACCGAGAUUGACACUGAGGAGCGAAAGCCAGGGGAGCAAACGGG